CAACCCUCAAGCACUGCUUGGUAUUGGGCUCCGCUGGUUUCGGCGGGCCUUAAAAUCAGUGGCAGCGCCGUCUGAGCUCUGAGCGUAGUAAAUAUCCUCGCUAUAGAGACCAGGUAGCUCUCGUCAUUAACCCCCAACUUUCUAA
rnacentral:misc_RNA from 1 species